GUUGAAUCAGCCCCCGUCGCUCCAAUUGAGUCUGCCACCGCAGACCCCGCCCCGGUUGAGGCGCCAGCCACCAAUGUUGCCCCUCCGGCGGCGAAGACUGCCAAGGCGAAGGCCACGAAGGCUUCCAAGGAGAAGAAGGCUGUGACAAAGAAGCCCUCUCUGCAUCCUACCUAUCUUGAGAUGAUCCGUGAGGCGAUAGUCUCCCUGAAGGAAAGGACUGGGUCAAGCCAGUAUGCAAUCUCGA
rnacentral:misc_RNA from 1 species